rnacentral:snoRNA from 1 species
AUGUAUCUAUCUGACAGACCUAGAGUAGUUAAUGUUUGUUUCUAAGGUUUCCACCAAAGAUGCAAGACAAAAGAUCCUUGCACUUUCUGCUUGUCUGAUUAUGGCAGCCAAAAUUGAAUGGGGGAAUAUAGGA